AGUGAACGCUGGCGGUAUGCCUAACACAUGCAAGUCGAACGGCAGCACAGUAAGAGCUUGCUCUUACGGGUGGCGAGUGGCGGACGGGUGAGGAAUACAUCGGAAUCUACUUUUUCGUGGGGGAUAACGUAGGGAAACUUACGCUAAUACCGCAUACGUCCUACGGGUGAAAGCAGGGGAUCUUCGGACCUUGCGCGAUUGAAUGAGCCGAUGUCGGAUUAGCUAGUUGGCGGGGUAAAGGCCCACCAAGGCGACGAUCCGUAGCUGGUCUGAGAGGAUGAUCAGCCACACUGGAACUGAGACACGGUCCAGACUCCUACGGGAGGCAGCAGUGGGGAAUAUUGGACAAUGGGCGCAAGCCUGAUCCAGCCAUACCGCGUGGGUGAAGAAGGCCUUCGGGUUGUAAAGCCCUUUUGUUGGGAAAGAAAAGCAGCAGGUUAAUACCCCGCUGUUCUGACGGUACCCAAAGAAUAAGCACCGGCUAACUUCGUG
rnacentral:rRNA from 1 species